GUGGCUUGUUCUUAUUUUGUUCUUCAUUCAACUUCGUUUCUUUUUAAGUUGCUUUCAUUGGAGUUGGAUUUUGGUGGAAGAAUUUCGUUGAGAGUUAGGUUGACUUAAGCGUUUUUUUAACUUUUUUUAUUUAUCCAUUUAAUUGUUUAAUCAUUAAUUAUUUUUUUACUUUCAUUUGUUUAUUUAUCCAUCAACUUUCUUAUUUACAUAUUGUUCAUUCAUUUAACCAUUCUUAUCAUUCUUUUAUUUUCUUCCAUUAAUUAUAUACUUUAUUUGUUUU
rnacentral:lncRNA from 1 species